rnacentral:rRNA from 1 species
AUGGAGGCCCUCCACGAGGAGAUGCCCUUCGACCUCUCCUUCCACCCCUCCGCGCCCCUCGUCGCCACCUCCCUCAUCACCGGCGAGCUCCACAUGUUCCGCUACGCCGACGGUUUGCCGCUGGAGAGGUACUCACGGUUGUUCGUGGCAAAACCUCACAAGGACUCUUGUAGGGCUGUUCGUUUUGUGGACUCAGGAACUGCGAUUCUGACGGGAUCUGCUGAUAUGUCGAUUGUCGCUUCUGAUGUAGAAACAGGCAAAGUCAUUGCCCGUUUGGAUAAUGCACAUGAUGACGCCAUAAACCGCCUUGUGUGUCUUACUGAAACUACAGUUGCUUCAGGCGAUGAUGACGGUUACAUUAAGGUGUGGGAUACUCGGCAACGAUCUUGCUGCAACACUUUUCACCGCCAUGAAGAUUACAUAUCAGAUAUGACCUAUGUAGCUGGCUCAAAUCAAAUAUUGGCUACAAGUGGUGAUGGAACUUUAUCUGUGAACAAUCUCCGGGGUAACAGAGUAAAGUCACAAUCUGAAUUUUCAGAAGACGAACUCCUAUCUGUGGUGGUAAUGAAGAAUGGCCAAAAAGUUGUUUGUGGAACUCCAAGUGGAGCUCUAUUGUUGUACUCGUGGGGACAUUUUAAGGACUGCAGUGACCGUUUUCUGGGGCACGCACAGUCUGUUGAUAACUUGCUGAAGCUGGAUGAAGAAACUCUGAUAUCUGCUGCAGCAGAUGGUGUGAUCAGGUUAGUGGGUAUCUUACCGAAUCAGAUAAUACAGCCGCUAGCUGAGCAUUCAGAAUUUCCAAUCGAGGCGCUUGGUUUCUCGCACGAUAGGAAGUAUCUAGGCAGCAUUUCACAUGACAAAAUGAUAAAGCUCUGGGACAUGGAGGAACUCCUGGGCGGUCCACAGUUAAAUCACCAGAACGACAUGCCCGAAGCCAACGCAGCCGUCCAUCACGACGAGUUGCCUGAAGCCAACGCGGCCAUCCACCACGACGAGUUGCCUGAAGCCAACGCCGCCGCUGGUCACCACGACGAGUUGCCUGCAGCCAACGCCGCCGUCGUCAACCACAACCAGCCGGCUGAAGCUGACAGCGACGACGACGGGAUGGACGUGGACAUGGAGCCAAGCUCUUCAAACGUGUCGAGGAGCAAGAAGAAGGGCAAGGGCAAGAAGCUGGACGGGUUCGCGCCGGACUUCUUUGCAGAUCUGUAG